GAUGAACGCUAGCGGCAGGCCUAACACAUGCAAGUCGAGGGGUAGAGGUUGCUUGCAACCUUGAGACCGGCGCACGGGUGCGUAACGCGUAUGCAAUCUGCCUUGUACUGAGGGAUAGCCCAGAGAAAUUUGGAUUAAUACCUCAUAGUAUCUAUUCCCGGCAUCGGGAGAUUAUUAAAGUUCCAACGGUACAAGAUGAGCAUGCGUCCCAUUAGCUAGUUGGUAUGGUAACGGCAUACCAAGGCAAUGAUGGGUAGGGGUCCUGAGAGGGAGAUCCCCCACACUGGUACUGAGACACGGACCAGACUCCUAGAGGAGGCAGCAGUGAGGAAUAUUGGUCAAUGGGCGCAAGCCUGAACCAGCCAUGCCGCGUGCAGGAUGAAGCAUCUAUGGUGUGUAAACUGCUUUUAUACGGGAAGAAACACCGGUUCGUGAACCGGCUUGACGGUACCGUAAGAAUAAGGCUCGGCUAACUCCGUGCCAGCAGCCGCGGUAA
rnacentral:rRNA from 1 species